GAGAGAGGCCUGCGGCAUCAGAGACUGCUAAUCUCUUUCCCCACAGUUAAAAUCUGUGGCUCACUCG
rnacentral:tRNA from 1 species